rnacentral:tRNA from 1 species
GCCUGGGUGGCUCAGUCGGUUGAGCGUCCGACUUCGGCUCAGGUCAUGAUCUCGCGGUUCGUGGGUUCGAGCCCCGUGUUGGGCU